AGAGUUUGAUCCUGGCUCAGGAUGAACGCUAGCGGGAGGCCUAACACAUGCAAGCCGAGCGGUAUAGAAUCUUCGGAUUUUAGAGAGCGGCGUACGGGUGCGGAACACGUGUGCAACCUACCUUUAUCUGGAGGAUAGCCUUUCGAAAGGAAGAUUAAUACUCCAUAAUAUAUUGAUUGGCAUCAAUUAAUAUUGAAAGCUCCGGCGGAUAGAGAUGGGCACGCGCAAGAUUAGUUAGUUGGUGAGGUAACGGCUCACCAAGACGAUGAUCUUUAGGGGGCCUGAGAGGGUGAUCCCCACACUGGUACUGAGACACGGACCAGACUCCUACGGGAGGCAGCAGUGAGGAAUAUUGGACAAUGGGUGCAAGCCUGAUCCAGCCAUCCCGCGUGAAGGACGACUGCCUAUGGGUUGUAAACUUCUUUUGUAUAGGGAUAAACCUCUCCUCGUGAGGAGAGCUGAAGGUACUAUACGAAUAAGCACCGGCUAACUCCGUG
rnacentral:rRNA from 1 species